rnacentral:lncRNA from 1 species
AUAAUCCACCCUUUGUUUAACACAUAAUCAAGAAAUAACCAUAAGUAUCAACAGUGGAACAGCCCAUGCUGCUGCUCUGCCUAUGGAGUAGCCAUUCUUUAUUCCCUUACUUUCUUAAUAAACUCGCUUUCACUUUAUGGAUUCAACUGUAAUUCUUUCUUGUGUGAGAUCCAAGAACCUUCUUGUAGGGUCUGGAUUGGGACCCUUUUCUGGUAACAUCUUCCUGGUGACCAUGAAGGGACAAUACUGAAGAGACCCCUGACCCUAAGGAAAUAGACUGCAGCACCAAUGGGCCAACUUUGGGUGGCGAUCAUCUUGCCCAGAAACAUCAUGUUGAAACUCUUGGUCAGAGGUUGGAUGAAAGCUGACAGGGUCCAUCCAGGAGCAAGUUUGAGCCUUGCCAGUUCCAUUUUGGGUGCUGAGUGGAGUGGCGACUAUAGCAAACCUGGUGAUCUCUGGCUGCUGCUCAGAAGAAACAAGAGGGAGGGAUGAAUAAUGUAAAACUCUGGAUCAAUAUUCUAAUUCUGAGCCUCUAUUGGAAUCAGCUAGCAACCACAUAUCAGCUUGGUUUCAACAGUUUCCCAGUUCAUGGUACCCUGACGGCACUUUCCUGGCCAUUCCUGGAGAUUCCUUAAUUACCUUUACAUCUUGGUUACUCCUUUGAGAGACACACUCAGAAUGAACCUCUUGAAACCACCUAUUGUUUUUAUUGCAGGAGUGAUUUUGAAGGUAUUGUCCCUUUUAUAUCACACAAGGGCCUCCUGGGAGUGAUAAGAACAGAAGUUCCUGGAAAGUUUCUGUUUCUCCUGAUAGCUGGGAUUUUUUUAUUCUAAUGAUUGUGUGGCUCUUGUUAUUGAUGCCAUUGUCUACUUUGGUUUCAGCUGCUGAGAAGUUCAGAGUCAAACCUGAAUCUCACCUCUGCAAAGAGCACAGGACUCCAUGGCAAACGUUGUAUAUACGCAAGUCAUCCCUGGCACCACAUUGAUUUACUGCACCAGGCUUUCUUCAUUGUGAUGAUGUUCUCUCUCUUUUCUAAAAAAAAAAUAAAAAUAAAAUUUAAAAAAUCCUGUUU